GCACAUGAAUUGUAAUACACAUGUAGAAAUGUGUGUACAUAGAUUUAUCUUUAAUUAUUAAAAGCUCUGACUCAAUACAUUUACUGUAAUACAGAUAUAUGUUCAUUGUUGAUAACUAAGCACAUGAAUUGUAAUAUGUACAUAAAAAGUAACCAUGGUGCAGCAAUAUUCUGUGAUAAUAAAUAAAGACUAUUUCCAUUUCA
rnacentral:lncRNA from 1 species